UGCAAUCGCUGGUCUAUUGACUAGAGGAAAGUCCAUGCUCGCACUGACCUGAGAUGGCAGUAGUGAUUGUGCUAGGAGAAAAAAUAAUCCUAGGUAUUAGGGAGCUAAUAACGGCGAAGCAUCUCUAAAAGUUUACUCAUGAGUAAUGCUUCAUAAAGUGCCACAGUGACGAAUUUAAAUGAAAAUUUAAAGUGAAACGAUGGUAAACCCCUCAAGCGAGAAACUCAAAUAUUGGUAGAGGAAACCCUAAACUAGAAUUAAAUAGUGGCGGGUAAGGUAACUUAGAUAAAUGAUUGCAUAAAACAGAACAUGGCUUAUG
rnacentral:RNase_P_RNA from 1 species